GUCUCCCCAUCUUCAUGAGAGAUAGUCAUGGAAUCUGACAGCACAGGCUUUGUCAAGAUUUUUCUUUCUAGGAUUCCUUCACCUAACCAGAACUGACUUCAUCAGAGAGUUAUGAUGGUUAACUCUAUCAGUCUUCUACCUGAAUGCCCCAAGAUAUUGAUGAAGUCAACAAAAACAUUGAGCCUCAGAACACAAGAAAUCUUGGACAAACUGGGAGACAGCUUGUCAGUAUCUAAGGGAAUGCAUCUGGAAAAGAGACUACCAGCAGAAGAGCAUAAAGGGGCGUGGAAGCCUAAACUGAACGAAGACCAAAGUGUGGACACUUUGCCCCUUCUUAGAAUUUGAAACAAUCACCCAUGGAAGGAGU
rnacentral:lncRNA from 1 species